CACCCGCAUCUCGAGUGGUGGCCACUUUUAUUGGGCCUAAAGCGUUCGUAGCCGGUUUUGUAAAUCCUCAGUCAAAUUCCCCUGCUUAACGGGAGAUACUCUGGAGAGACUGCGAAGCUAGGGACCGGGUGAGGUUGACGGUACUGCUGGGGUAGGGGUAAAAUCCUGUAAUCCUGGAAGGACGACCAGUGGCGAAGGCGGUCAACUAGAACGGAUCCGACGGUGAGGAACGAGAGCUAGGGGAGCAAACCGG
rnacentral:rRNA from 1 species